rnacentral:lncRNA from 1 species
CAGCUCCUCUGUGAGGUCCAAGUGCUUAAGCCCCACUCCUAACCCUAAGUAGAUGUCAAAACUCUCAGUGCUUUCUGAGUCUCCAAAGUAGGUGAGCACAGGGCUUCAGAGACAAUCGGAUCAGAUGACCCUGCCUUGAGAAGCUUAAAAUCAGACAACCUAAUCCGGUAUCCUCCAUCACACUGAGCUGAAAUUACCUCCAUGGAACGUGGAACUUUAUCCAAAGUGUGUAAGCACAGUGGAGCCAAGUUUUGCAUUAAGGCUAAACAUACGAAGGAUGUGGAUAAACAAGGGAAAGUUACAGCAAGAAGGUAUUUUUAUCAUUUGAUUCGGCUCCAGCGUUUGUUUGCAUUAGCUGCUAUUGAUUUGAGCUGUCACCUUUGCUGUUUUGAUCACAAAUAUGUCUAG